UACGGGGGGGGCAAGCGUUGUUCGGAAUUACUGGGCGUAAAGGGCUCGUAGUCGGCCAACUAAGUCAGACGUGAAAUCCCUCGGCUUAACCGGGGAACUGCGUCUGAUACUGGAUGGCUUGAAUCCGGGAGAGGGAUGCGGAAUUCCAGGUGUAGCGGUGAAAUGCGUAGAUAUCUGGAGGAACACCGGUGGCGAAGGCGGCAUCCUGGACCGGCAUUGACGCUGAGGAGCGAAAGCCAGGGGAGCAAACGGG
rnacentral:rRNA from 1 species